AAGAAGCCUUUGAUCAAUUUUAGACCAAAGAUGGCUUAUGUUCGGCCUGACUGAAGAAGCCUUUGAUCGAUUUUAAACUAAAGACGACCUAUAUUCAGCCCGACUGAAGGAGCUUUUGAUCGACUUUAAACUAAAGAUGGUUUAUAUUCGAUCCAACUGAAGAAACUGUUGAUCGACUUUAAACUAAAAAUGACCUUUGUUUGGCCCGACUAAAGGAGUCUUUGAUCGGGUUUAAA
rnacentral:lncRNA from 1 species